rnacentral:rRNA from 1 species
GAUGAACGCUAGCUACAGGCUUAACACAUGCAAGUCGAGGGGUAACAAGAGAAAAGCUUGCUUUUCUUGUUGACGACCGGCGCACGGGUGAGUAACGCGUAUCCAACCUGCCUAUAACUAGGGAAUAACCUUGCGAAAGUAAGACUAAUACCCUAUGAUUUCCUUUGAUGACAUCAGAUUAGGAAGAAAGAUUUAUCGGUUAUAGAUGGGGAUGCGUCUGAUUAGCUUGUUGGCGGGGUAACGGCCCACCAAGGCAACGAUCAGUAGGGGUUCUGAGAGGAAGGUCCCCCACAUUGGAACUGAGACACGGUCCAAACUCCUACGGGAGGCAGCAGUGAGGAAUAUUGGUCAAUGGGCGGAAGCCUGAACCAGCCAAGUAGCGUGCAGGAUGACGGCCCUAUGGGUUGUAAACUGCUUUUAUACAGGAAUAAAGUUAGCCACGUGUGGUUAUUUGUAGGUACUGUACGAAUAAGGACCGGCUAAUUCCGUGCCAGCAGCCGCCGUAA